rnacentral:lncRNA from 1 species
UCUACAAGCAUAACAGGAUAUCAUUAAUAGAGUAAGGGGUUGUGUACAGUGAGGGAUGGGUCUUAGGUUGGGCCAGUCAUUGGUUGGCCAUUCCUCCCAUCUCUGCUCUAUCUUCAUCUCUUGAGUAUCCUGUAGGGCAGGAUAAAGUUUGGGUUGAAGGUUUUGUGGAUGGGUUGGUGUACCCACUGGAAGUCCUGCCUGGCUGCAAGAGGUUGCCACUUCAGUCUCUAUUCCCUGCUGGUGGAAAGGAAUCUCACCUAGGGUAACCCUCAUAGUCUUCAUUCCAGGUCUCCAGGUAGUCCCAGGGAUGCCCCUACAGAUUUCCCUUCUUACUCCUAACCCUAUUGCCCCCACUCCCCAAACACCUCAUUAUUAUCCCCAUACCUCUCCUCAUCCCCUCUCCCCCCCAGUUCCCUCUUUCCAUUCACCUCUGAUGACUGUUCUGUUUCCACUUCUAAGUAAGCUUCACACAUCCUCCUUGGGGUCCUCCUUAUUACCCAUUUUCUUUGAGUCUGUGGGUUUGUAGUAUGGAUAUCCUGCAUUUCAUGGCUGAAGUCCACUUAUGAGUGAGUAUAUACUACAUGUGUCUUCCCAGGUCUUUGUUACCUCACUCAGGAUGAGAUUCUCAAGUUCCAUCCAUUUGUCUGCAAUCAUGAUGCCUUUGUUUUUCAUAGCUGAAUAGUAUUCCCUUGUGUAGAUGUACUGCAUUUUCUUUAUCUAUUCUUCCGUUGAGGAGCAUCUAGGUUGUUUCUAGUUUCUGGCUAUUACAAAAAAAGCUGCUAUGAACAUAGUUAAACAAAUGUCCCUGUUUAUAUAGUGUGGCAUCUUUUGGGUAUAUGCCCUGAAAUAGUAUAGCUGGGUCUUAAUGUAGAACUGUUAUCAUUUUUCUGAGAAACCACCAAUUUGAUUUUCAAAGUGGUUGUACAAGUUUGUAUCCCACCAGCAGUGGAGGAGUGUUUCUUUGUUCUACAUCCUCAUCAGCAUGUGAUGUGGAUAUCUUUUUAAAAAUCAUUUCAUUUUAUUUAUUUUGCAUGAAUACUUAAAGAGUCAGGGACAUUAUUUUUUUCAUGUUCCUUUCUCUAGUCUCAAAAUAAUACCAACUAGUUAUGUUUUUAAUUGCUUUUUAAAGUGGUAUUUUCACAUGUUCAUAUGUUGAGUUGCUAGUACAUGAGUUGAUUGAGCCUUCUGUUCAGUCACCAGUAUUUGUUCACUUUUUUACUUGAAACUGAAAAAGCAGCUUAAGGAACGGUUCAUUUUAGUUUCAACUUAUGAGCUUAGACAUUACACUUGUCUUUUUUCUGCCUUAUUUCACUUAACCUGAUGUCCUUCAUUUCCUGCAAGCAAGAUGUCAUUCUUCAUUAUUGAAAGAUACUCCAUUUUGUAUAUGUAUAAAUAUAUACAUGUAUAUAUGCACAGUUAUAUGCAUACUGUAUCCACAAUUAUUGAUGGUCAUCUCUCAGCUAUUAGAAUAGCUUUGAUAAAUAUGUGUAAAUAAUAGUGUGUGUAGACUUCAUUGUUGCAUGUCAGUGAGUAAGAGUGCUGAGUGAUACAGUUCUAAAUGUACUUUUAAAGUUGUUUUUAUUUUAUGUGCAUGAGUAUUUUGCCUGCAUUUAUGUCUGUGCAUCACAUGCAUGCUUUGUACCUCUAGAGGUCAGAAGAGGGCAUUGGAUCCACUGGGACCUAGACUUACAGACAGCAGUUGUAAACUGCCAUGUGGGUACUGGGAACCAAACCCAGGUCCUAUGGAAGGACAGCAAGUGCUCGUAAUAUCUGAGUCAACUCUCCAGCUCCUAAUUUAAAUUUUGAGGAAACUUCGUACCGAUUCUUGUAUUGGCUUUUUUUAUGUUGCCACCGAGUAUAUGAGCAUUCCUUUGUUAUUACAUCUUAUCAGCAUUUUUUGUUUUCUGUGUUUCAGUACGUAGCAUUUUGAAUGGUACUGUUUUAUUUUCUGUCUUUUAUCUUUGCAUUUUUCAUGUCUAAUCAUAUCAACAUUGUUUUUAUAUGUUCUUUUUGUUUUGUUUCUUUGAGACCAGGGUAUCAUUGUGUACUCUGGCUGACGUAGAGCUUGCUAUGUACACCAGGCUGGCUUGAAUUCACAGAGAUCUCUUGCCUCUGCCUCCCAAGUGCUGGGAUUAAAGGAAUAAACCACCACACCUGGUUUUUUCAUGGUUUCCUUGGAGAAUUGUAUUAUUAGACUGUUUACCACCUUUCAGUUGGUCUAAGUGUCAUUUCAUUUCUUAAUUAUUGCUUGUUUUCUGUGCAGCUAUAGUUCUAUACAGAAAAUAAUUGAUUAUGCCUGUAUCUUGAAACAUUUUCCCUAUGUUUUUCUUCUAGAAUUUUCAGUUUCAGGUGUUUCAUUAAGGCUUUGACCCAUUCUGGGUUGACAUUUGUUGGUCUUCAGUUUCAGUGUUCUGUAUAUGGACAUCAAGUUUCUCUGGCUCCAUUUGUUAAAGAAGCUGCACUUGGUCUGGUAUACUUGGACACAUUUGCUUAGCUAUAUGUCCUAUUUUGCAUUCUGUUGCUUUGAUAAAGACCAUGACCAAAAGCAAUGUGAAGAGGAAAAGAUUUAUUAGGCUUAUACAUCUACCACUGAGAGAAGCCAAGGCAGGGACUCAGAGCAGAAACCACAGAGGAGGGAUGCUGCUCACUGGCUUGUUCUCUGUAGCUUGCUUAGGGGCCUUUUUUAACUUGGAACUCAGGACCACAUGCCCUAUUGUGGCACUGCCUACAAGUGGACUGGGCACUUUCAUCAGUCAUUAAGAGAAUGCUCACAGGAGUCCCUGGAGGCCAGCCUUAUUGGGGAGUUUUAUCAAUGCAAAUUUUUUUUCUUCCCAGAUGAUCCUAGUUUUUAUCAAGCUGAUGGGGGAAAAAAUUAACCAGCACACUGAAUGUGGGUGAAUUUCUAUCUGGGUUAUUUGUUCUUGUCCAUUGGCUUAAGUGUCUGUUUUUAUAUUAGCACUAUGCUGUCUUUGUUACUGUUGUAUGGAAUGAAGUCAGGUGUGGUGAUACCUGUGCCUUGGCUUUUUACUCAGAAUUGCUUUGUUCAUCUAGAGUUGGGUUGGUUUCAAUAUGAAUUUUAGGGUUGGUUGGUUGGGUUUUUUCCCUCUGAUUCUGUGAAGAAUGCUGUUUUGUUUUUUUGGUGAGUAUUGCAUUGAAUUAAUAACUUGCUUUAGGUAGGGUGAACAUAUUAACAGUGUUCUCACUUAUGUAGGCAAUAGGUCUUUACAGGUUGUGGGGUAUGAGCUCUUAAAAAUUGGGUUGUUUUCAUGAGUUUAUGCAAAAUCAUUAUUGGAAUAUGGAAAAGCUACUGGCUCUUAAUAUAUUUUUGUAUUUUAUUUUAUAAACAGCACUUACCAGUUCUAAUAUUUUAAUGACAUUUCUGGUUGGACCUUUUGAGACGUACUCAGCUUUCUGAAGCUCUGUUUUUCUCUAGCUUUUGUUUGUUGUUCAAGUUAUUACUAAUUGUUUUCCUUUCUUUUUCAUUCUUAUAUAAACCCCACCCACUGACUAUUUUUCUUUCACAAAUAGUAUUUAUCUAGUUUAUUCAUUUCAUGAUUUAAUCUCUUCACUGAGCUUUUUCUUACUUUGUUCAAAUGUUUAUUUCACGAGCAUAUUAAUAAUUGCUUACAGCGUUUGAAUCUUAGGUGGGCAUCUGUGGAUUUUUACCUCCCCCGCCUUAGGGUUUCCUUUUGCUUUGUGGGUGAGAUGAAUCCAGGUCCUUGGGCAUCAUGAAAUCCCAUAGAUACUGUUACUAAAUGAUGCUGGUAGCCCCAAGUGUGAGAUUUUAGGAGUCUGUGCUCAGUUGUGGCAUGUGAGGGUGAGAUUUCUUGUUAGAGAAUUGGCACCACGGGCACAAGUUAUUAUAGAUGCCUUUCUUACAUUUUUAACACUGAGGGUAAAUUUUUUGAGACACACUUUUAAAAUUCAGACAACACUUGUGUAUUCUUUUGGAAACUCAUGUUUGUAACAGUACAUAGGAUGUACUAUUUAAGAUACUGUUUUGUCACUUUUCUAUCUAAGCAGUAACAAUAAUAUCACAGAGGCCUAGAUGAGAUACCUAUUUCUCAGGUGGAGCUAGGUAGAUGAAGUCAGAGGGAUACACCUACAUUUAGAUGUCCAGACUCUUUCUAAUCUUUUUCCCCAGGGUUUCCCAAUAAUUUCCUAAGUCAGCUUCCAGGCUAAACAAGACUAUUCCCACCAUAUGUAUAUUUCACUACACAAUGUGAGAGAGAAAUUGUAGACAAAUAAGUUCCUUUCAAAGAAAUGCUGCAGAAGUUGUAUGUAUUACUCAACACUCCAUUGACCAUGGCACAGUCACGUGGCCAAGCUAGCUGCAGAUAAGUCUAGGAAAGGUGGUCCCUAGUGUCAGCUGUGGAUAGAUAACUGUUGCUGAAAAGGAGAAGUGGGGAAGUUGUCAGAGCCAGCUCCACCCUACCACACUCUCAUGAGACUCAUGAGGGAGUACCAGCACACUUGGUAGGAUUAGAUCAGUAGCAUGCCAGAACAUAGUCAGAAUGCAGAAGGGAUUUUAAGUAGCUACUUAUUUUCAUACUUGAAAAAAAGCACAAAACUAGAUAUUGGAGAAUUUGAUAAAAUCCCUUCAAACUGUGUCAAAUUGUUGGAUAUACGAGCUAAUAAUUGUUUAUUUUGUUCUUGUAUUUUAGGCCUCAACUCCAUAUAGCAUAGAUUCAGAUUCUUUGGGAAUGGAGUGUAUUAUUUCGGGAAGUGCCUCUCCAACUCUGGCAAUCAACACUGUGACUAACAAAGUAAUUCCACUUUUUAAACAUUUUUAAAUGUCCUUGAGUAAUGGCAAUUGUUAUGUAUGGGGAAGUUUAAAGAUGAUAUAAAUUUGCUCAAUCUAUAUGUGACAGCUUGAGACUUGAAUCUAGAGUGUUUUGAAGUGUAUGCACAAAUGCCAGUUCUGGUGGGGGCUGUCCUAUCUUUACAGUUACAAAGGAAGUUAGGCAGAAGGAUCAGAAUUUCAGGGUCUACAUGGGCAUCAGAAUGAGGUCAAGGCCAGCCUGGACAACUUAGUGAUACCUUGUCUUGAAAAUAUGUAUAGACAGUAGAUAGAAGUGCUUUCUGCUAAGCCUGAGAACUUAAGAAUUCAAUUUUUAAGGUGAGACCCACAUAGUAAAAAGAGAACAGACUCCUUCAAGUUGUCUUCUGACCUCCAUGUGCUCACCUGAUUGCCUCUCUUCCACAAAAUAAAUAACUAAAUGU